rnacentral:rRNA from 1 species
GUGUCAGCCGCCGCGGUAAUACGUAGGCAGCAAACGUUGUUCGGAAUUACUGGGCGUAAAGAGUGUGUAGGCGGCUUUGUAAGUCUGGUGUGAAAUCUCCCGGCUUAACUGGGAGGGUGCGCUAGAAACUGCAAGGCUCGAGUAUCGGAGAGGAAAGCGGAAUUCCUGGUGUAGCGGUGAAAUGCGUAGAUAUCAGGAGGAACACCGGUGGUGUAGACGGCUUUCUGGACGAUCACUGACGCUGAGACACGAAAGCGUGGGGAGCAAACAGGAUUAGAUACCCUGGUAGUCCACGCCCUAAACGAUGCAUACUUGGUGUGAGUCCUUCAUUGGAUUCGUGCCGGAGCUAACGCGUUAAGUAUGCCGCCUGGGGAGUACGGUCGCAAGGCUGAA